rnacentral:rRNA from 1 species
UACGGAGGGUGCGAACGUUAAUCGGAAUUACUGGGCGUAAAGCGCACGUAGGCGGUUCGCUAAGUGAGAUGUGAAAGCCCCGGGCUUAACCUGGGAACUGCAUUUCAGACUGGCGGACUAGAGUGCAGUAGAGGACGGUGGAAUUCCCUGUGUAGCGGUGAAAUGCGUAGAUAUAGGGAGGAACAUCAGUGGCGAAGGCGGCCGUCUGGACUGACACUGACGCUGAGGUGCGAAAGCGUGGGGAGCAAACAGG